rnacentral:tRNA from 1 species
GGGCCCGUAGCUCAGUGGUAGAGCAGCCGGCUCAUAACCGGCAGGUCGCAGGUUCGAUCCCCGCCGGGCCCACCA